GUCCCUGGCUGUCACCAUUCUCAACAACAGUGUCACGUAAACUGUCCUAGAGCACCCUCUGUUGGUAAUAAGGUAUAUUACAUGCCAAUUCAAACUACCAUUAUCUCACAUCUGAUGAUGUAAACAAAAUAAUGGAAUUACUUUGACCAUGCAAGAGGAAAACACAGCAUAUAAUUUUAAAUGUAGUGAUUUAUUUCAUGCUACCGCUGUACCAUUCAGGAUUAAAAAAUAUCAAACACAGCGCACCCCUCCGUCACAGCAUUACAGAAAAACGUUUGUGAUACAGAAAAGAAAAACUAUGUUCAUACUCAAUUCAAAUAAGGAAGAACAGAAUUCAUAAAACGGAUAGAAAUAUAGUACACAAGAAACUGGAGCGAUUCAAUACAAUGUGAGCAUAAUUUCAACACACAUUUUCAAAGUAGCAGUACUAUUGGAAAAGUCAGUAUAGGCCUCUUGUUCUCAGACAGAUUCAGAUCUUUACAUUAAGGAAGCUGAUUCAGUAGCAGGGUUUUGAUUCAGUAGACAAUUUCCUGAUAUACAUUCAUUGUAUUUCUUGUCACUUUUGAAAGAUAUCUUAAAACAAUCUUCAGUAGUUUGAGCAAACAGCAAAGAUCACAACAAUCACCAAUCAAGGUUGGCUUUCAUAACGAUAUGAUUUGUAAAUAAUAUCAAUAACUAUGAUAAUAAUAAAAAUGAGUGUUUAAUUGUAGCACUUUUUCAAUGCCUUUGGGGUUGUAAACCCAGUAUUUCUCAGUUUUUCUUUCCUUGCAUGAGUCUAUCAAUCCAAUGAGGCAAUAGACUUUUGCAUAUUUAGAAAUCAAGGACAAACAAAUUGUUAGCUUAACCCAUGAAUACAUAGAUUGUGGUAGUGUUUCAUGUUUACAAUGUCUGAAGCAAGUGGAGCUGUCUAUUAGCAUCAGAGGAGGGACAUCUCUCUCUCUCCCUCUAUAUAUAUAUUUAUAUUAUAUAUAUAUUUAUUUAUUUUAUACAUAGUUUGUGUAUAUAUAAGCUAAACGGCGCGAAAUGUUUUCUCAUCAGCGAUCCAACUAGGCUGUGGUGCAUCCAUAUUUAAAAAGUGCUGAAGACACACUCUCACAUUUCAAAUUCUGUCCAGCUAAAACAACUUGCUUUGGAAAUGUUUUUUUUGCAUUUUUUUUUACACGCACGCACGCACGCACGCACGCACGCACACACACACACACACACACACACACAAAGUGCCAGUAGCCUUCCGAGAUAACGUCGACCACCUGAUUAAAAAUUCUCAGUAAUAAAACACGCACACGCUUUUAAAAACCAUCAUUUUGAAAAAGUACCGACAUUACAUAAGCAGUCCGAUCCAGCCACUGGUCAGCCGAACUCAUCGUAGCGCACCCAGGAGAAAUACAACCUGGUUACAAGCUAGCUUACACCCAGCAUGGUUGCAACUAAACGCACUAAAACACAGUAGCCAACGGUCCAUUCAGCCAGUUACAAUAAGUGGAUCAACAUAAGCCAACAACAUCCUUUUUUAUGUGUGUGUAUGUGUCGGUGUGUAUCGGUCAACAUCGCUGACUUAGAAAGGGGGUUCUCAACGCUAUCGAGCAAGGCAGCAACGACACUCUACCACUGGAUAGAACGGUAAUAGGCUGGUCAAGAGAGCGACUAGCAGAUCAAGACGAAAGCCAAAUAAUGACAGGGGAAAAGCUUAGGCCAAUUUGAGGUGACAAAAGGAGCGCAAGAGAGCGGGAAAGAGGGAGGGGGUAAAGGAAGGGACACAGAGAUAAGAUGACGACUGGAAGGGAAGAGAGGACAGAACGAGAGAAGGAGUACAAGACAUAACGAGCAGACAGAAAAGACACAGAACGACAAGCAGGUGGGGGUGAAGAGAGCAGGGGGAGGGUAAGAAAGAGCGGGAUGAGGGGGAGACACUGAAGAUGGUCGCCCCCUAGAGGCACACGACGUCCUCCAAACUCUCUCUCUUGUUGCUCUCUCCCAAUCCGCUCCGCCCAGCUACCCUUCACUCCCUCCCUCCCUCCCUCCGACUCACAUCUGGGGAGACGAGAUUGCAACCAGAGCCCAAAAGUCCCUCACCACGGGGGGGGUGAUAUUUCGUGUGAGGCGUCUGUCCGUGUCGCACCCCGCUGUGGGUUUCCCUACACACACACUGACACACACACACAAACGUUACACACGCCACACACCAGCCUGUAAGAAAGCCCAACCGGGCCGACGAGAUAUAGCGCAAUUAUCAGCAGGACUGAUCUCCCCCUGCAAUUACACGUGAAACUAGGCCAAAAAAAUAAGAAUUAGUAAGGUAAGAAAAUGAAACACAAAAAAAGAAUACCUCAAGAGCAAGUGCGUUUUCUUUACUGCGCACGAGUCUGAAUUCACGAGUGACUGAAUAUUUCUACACUGAAACACUCAGGCAGCCACUCCUACCAGCAGGCAUGGGGCCCUAGCUAUGUGGAGUCCCUAACCCCUCGCUCUCUCCCUCUCCCUCUCCCCGGGCUACGGGAUGGGAUUGCGACCGGGGGUCGACUGAGCUGGACGGAGGGCAGAGGCGGUUAAGACUUUAAGACUCUGGGGAGCAGUGGAGUUCUUCUCCUUCCCCUGACGUCGCUCUUUGGUGCGCUCCGCUGUACGAUGCAAUGAGGACACAACGGAGAGGAGGGGGGGGGCCGAGGAGAUAAAAAGAGACAAACGGGUCAGGGGGGAAAUCACGGCCGAGGCGAUAGGACACGUGGCGUCACUCACACCAGGGGACGGCGACGUGAGAUAUACCUGAGAAAGAAAAGGAAAGCAAAAAGGGAGGACGAGGGGAAGAGGGAGAAUGGGAGAGUGGGACUAGAGGGGGGCAGAAAGAGAGCAGCCUUUGUUGGCCUGUUUAAGUCAAAUAAUUAGCCAACGUUACAAAGGGUUGCAUCAGCCACACCUCCGUUUAGCCUGGCUUCUCUCCAACUUUCUUCUUUACAUUCACAAUCUUCUAUCGAGUGGGUCCAAAUAAAAUAAAAUACAAAGGAUAUUCAGACACUUUGCGUCGUCCAUCGCCCUUUUCGUCUUGAGAACAGUUCAUCAAAACCCAGACAACAAACACACACACAAACACACACACACACACACACAACGUUUCUUCUCCAUCGUUUCCCAUUACCCCUGCUGGCACCCCGGUCUCAAAGCACCAUCUGAAAGGUCUCGUUAAGGCCGGCUUGUUACCGUGGUCGGAUCGACGCCGUCUCGGUGGCGGGGUGCUCUAAAUUGGGUGUCUGGGGCGGAGAGAUGUGCUCCGUGGGGAGCGGGGUUUGGUACGUCUUCUCCUUUGUUAUUUCUUUAAAGGGUGCACUCGGAGGACACACACACACACACCAACGCUUUUGGUUUAAAAAAAGAAGAAUUCUGGCAAGCAGCAGUGUUUGGUCGCGUCAGCAGGGUUCACUAUGAGCAUCGCUCAUCGUCGGCCGGAGUUGACGAGCUGAUGGCGAUCACAAGGGUCGGGACGGAAGAGUCGUCGGCCCGCGCUCCGAGAGAGAUGCGCCGGGAAGAGCGCGGGGGUGUUGCAGUGUGAGCUUUGAGCGGACGGCCGUGGCGGGACAGUCGU
ensembl:lncRNA